UAAUGAAGGAAGCAUGGUAAUGUGUACAUAAAUUGAAUUGGGUUUCUAGGCCUGCCCUCUCUAAUACUAUUUGGUUUUGAUUUGAAGGUAUGGUUCUGCAACAAAACA